rnacentral:rRNA from 1 species
GACAGAGGGUGCAAACGUUGUUCGGAAUUACUGGGCGUAAAGCGUGUGUAGGCGGUCUCAUAAGUCGGGUGUGAAAUCCCUGGGCUCAACCCAGGAAGUGCACUCGAAACUGCGAGGCUAGAGUACCGGAGAGGUUGGUGGAAUUCUCGGUGUAGAGGUGAAAUUCGUAGAUAUCGAGAGGAACAUCGGUGGCGAAGGCGGCUUUCUGGACGGUAACUGACGCUGAGGUGCGAAAGCGUGGGGAGCAAACAGG